GACUCGCUCAAAAUGGCGUACAGCCUUCCCGCCCCUGUGCCGCUCCGAUUGUCUCCUCGGCCUCUAUGGCUUCCUCCCCAUUGGAGAGAAGUACUGUCAGUCACAGGCGAGCGUCCCUCUGGCUGCCAUGACAACCAGAAUGCAGGACUGUGCUGCCUGCUGCGGGGAUAUGCCGGGGCGGGUCUCCACCAGGGGCCUCACCCGCUCCGUGGCUCAUAGACUAAAAUAUUACAUUGAUGUGCAAAGAAAAGAAGAUAGUUUUGAUUUAUCAGGAGCUAGCAGGAAUGAGGCUGAAAGUUCCAGUUUCUAUAUGCAUCCUGGAAGUAUUGCUGAACAAAAAUAUGAUCAGUGUCUCAAGCAUAAUUUUACAGAUUGUAAAUUCGAAGCAUCUCUUCGAAUGUAUACAGGAAAUUCUGAAGAAUGUGAAAGAAAAUUACAGAGCAGCCCAGAAAGACAACAGGAAAUGAAGAUCAUCAAAAAGAAAAUGGCACAAGAUGUUGUAACUGACAGACCUUUCCCGGUCUUAGUAAGGAGUACAAAAAGAACAAAGAAGUUGCACAGCUUCCCUUCCAGACUAUCUCAAUUUCCUCCUCCCCCAUACACAUCACAAGAAGAAGUCAUGAGGCUCAUUUCAUCAGCUUCAAAGCUAAUUGUUGCGGCGACUUGUGAAAUUUCUUCGGAGGAAAUAAAGAAGCCAGACUGUGCCUCACCCCAGAAGAGGAAAGAAGCUAAAAAUAGUCAAAGAUUGAACCAUUACUACAAGCAGCGUGCACCUCCUCUUGUGAUCUCUCGAGAUCCCCAUGAAUAUGAAGCUAAGAGCACUGAUGUAUUCUGUUUUAAAAGUACACGGGAAAUGAACAAAUUAGAAGAAUCAAAUGCUGACUUUAUCCAAGAAAAUUCAAGGAAUGAUUAUGGGAAAAAUACAAAGAAAGGCAAGAAAGAAAAAAACAUUAUAAAUGUAAAUGGACAGUUCAGAGUUGAGAGAUCAUCUAACGUUUCCAGUAACUCGUCUAAACAUAGGAGUGUACAUUCUAAAACUUCGACAAGAGCAACUGAUUUAAAUUCAUUGUACUUAAGUACCAUAUCUCCAUAUGCACAAGGAACUGGCAGAAGUAAAGGUCCUAAAAAAAAUGUGCUUAAUGAAGGGGAGUCCUCUGCCUUGCGCAGCUCUUCAGUGAUGUCUGAAUGCCAAGAUACAGAGCCAAGUACUGGCCGUAUAUCAGGCUUGACAAGUUUUGCUCACUCUCAGAAAAAUGAAUGCCUCUCUGGGUGGCUCUGUAAGUCAUCUGAAUUCAAAAGGCAAAAGUCACCCCAAAUGCCUAGUAGAAAGCAUUCAGGCAUCAGAGUUAGUAAGUCUAGCAAGCUUUCACAGAGAAGGCCAAUGGAGAACUCCAGGAAUAUGCCACACAUCAAAAAGAAAGAAAAAAUAGUGAAGGAAACAGGGAAUUAAAUGAGAAAAUAAUUCAUACUAUUUCCACAAAUGCACAAGCCCCAAUCAUAAAUGAAAACACGGGAGAACAAACAGCUUCUGUUGUGGCUCUUAAAUGUGGCAUUCACCACAGCCAAAAUACCACAUGUAACAGCCUUCAUCAGAGACCUCAAAGUAACCAGCACCAAAAAAAGAAGAAAGAUUUGUGUGAAUUAGCUACAGGAAAAAACACCAAAUCCCAUAAGGUCCGUUUCCAAGGUCCAUUGCAGUUUUCCAGAAAUACUGAACAGAAAUGUAACUGUGUAAACUUGAAUAGUUGUAACAUAACAAGUGACUAUGGAAUUCAAACCAUUGCUUCAGAAAGUAAAUCUUUAGGGACUGUGACACAUCUUCCAGAGAAGGAAAAUGAAGAACACCUUUCUAGGGUCACACUUGGAGCACCUUCCUUUCUACAUCAAGUUUUCCUGGAAAUGGAGCAAGAUGCAUCACCUACUUCAACUGCAUCUGAGCCUAAAGAUCUGGACAGCAGUUUAGAAAACAAAAGUAUACAACAAUUAUGUAACCAGCAUUUCAUCCUUAAUGAAUCCACAGGAGACACGAAGGUUCAGGAUACUAUCAGCAAUGUACAUACAAGUAACAUUAUUUUAACAGACCCAUGUGAUUGGCAAAUGGCACAUAUCCCACAGAAGGCUCAGUGUUGUUGCACCUGUUCAGAAGAACAAUGCAACUUUAUAUCUGAAACAUCUGAUGAAGAACAAGACAGUUUCUCAGAUUCAUCUGUGACAGUAACAAGUAUUUUAGGUGCAUUAGAAAACCAACAGUCAGAAGAGGAGUUCACUAUAUCAUCUGUAUCUGAUAGCCUGAGUCUUGGAUCAUUAUAUGAUGUGCAUGAACAGAUGGAAGAAAACAUUUGUGUUGACCGAAAAGAGGAGGAAAACUCUGACUCCAGCAUAGGCCAUCUUGAUGAAAGAGUUCUAGAGGAAAUGCAGAAGAUUAGCACCUCGGAGAGGCUCUCUCAGACAAACUCCUUCCAUUUCAGGUAUUAAUAUUUAUUCUACCUGAAAAGAACCAGAAUAGGCUUUUAGUUUCCAUUUCAGGGAUCCACAUCUUUGAGUUGGUAUUAAAUAUUGGGGACCUGGUGAUGCCUUCCUUUUUAUAGCACUGCAGUAGUCUCACCUGAUGGUAAAAUCAUGGAUAACAAUGGGAUGGUUCAAAUUCAUAAGAGAGAAUGUAAGAUCCCUCUUAAGUGCAAGAUAAGAAUGAGUAUUACUUAUUCCGCCCCAAGGCACUUACAAUCUAAAUUGCUAUCUGGACAUCCAGAAACCCCUCAGGAUACAACAAAUUCCCCAACCAAACCAAGACAUGCCAUUAAUCAAAGAUACUGAUAUAAUUUCUGCCAUUUCCUCAGUUUGCUUCUCCCUCCAUAUAGGCACUAUCUCGGUCUUGUCUGGGCUGAAUCUCAGGCCUGGUCUACACUGGGAUGGGGGAGGAGGAGGAAGAAUCAAUCUAAGUUACGCAAUUUCAGCUAUGUGAAUAACAUAGCUGAAGUUGACGUAUUUAGAUCUACUUACCGCAGUGUCUUC